GAUGAACGCUGGCAGCGUGCUUAACACAUGCAAGUCGAGCGAAGCACUUAAGUCUGAUUCUUCGGAUGAAGAUUUUUGUGACUGAGCGGCGGACGGGUGAGUAACGCGUGGGUAACCUGCCUCAUACAGGGGGAUAACAGUUAGAAAUGACUGCUAAUACCGCAUAAGACCACGGUACCGCAUGGUACAGUGGUAAAAACUCCGGUGGUAUGAGAUGGACCCGCGUCUGAUUAGGUAGUUGGUGGGGUAACGGCCUACCAAGCCGACGAUCAGUAGCCGACCUGAGAGGGUGACCGGCCACAUUGGGACUGAGACACGGCCCAGACUCCUACGGGAGGCAGCAGUGGGGAAUAUUGCACAAUGGAGGAAACUCUGAUGCAGCGACGCCGCGUGAAGGAUGAAGUAUUUCGGUAUGUAAACUUCUAUCAGCAGGGAAGAAAAUGACGGUACCUGACUAAGAAGCCCCGGCUAACUACGUGCCAGCAGCCGCGGUAA
rnacentral:rRNA from 1 species